AGACCCGUUCUGGAGAGAAAGGGCUGAGAACCCGGAGGCGGCGGCGGCGGCGGCGAGCCGGGGCUGCUGGUUCGCAGGGCGGCUAGCUCGCGAGGAGGCGCGGCCAGAGCGGUGGGACCGGUAACACCAAGAGCCGAGAAGACGCAGGGACCCGGGACCGCGCGCGGGAGGAAACGCGGCGGCCGCCCAAGCUGUCACCUCCAGCCUCUCCCCUCUCGGCCGCCUCUGCCAGCAGCCAGAGCCGGACUCACUGACAAGCCGCAGAGAGAGACACACUGAGAGGGAGAUGAUUAUUAGUUGCGUUGAGUCAUCAGGCAAAGACCCCGAGGGCUCUCCCACAUCUCCCGCAGCAAGAGCCACCGAUCCCCCUUAAGAAGCGUUGACUGUACGGCGGCGCCAGAGGGCCAAACUAAGUUCGGUUUCGGGAAACGCUCUCGGGAGCAGUUCUGUAAAUCCCUGCUGGGAGCAGAGACUGCGAAAAGCUGAGUCCGCCGAUCGUGCCCGGGACAAGGCUGCCUUCCACUCGCCCUCGCCGCAUCUACCUGGUAGGCGGCAUGCGCACGGGCUUAGAGGCUUGAGAGCCUCUGGAAGAGAAAGGGUCCCAGGAAGGAAACCUGCCCCCGGCCUAAGUGUCGGCGCCCAGAUCACCACGAACCCCGCACCUAGGCGCCGCCCACCAAGUUCCAAAGAAGUCCGAGGCGACCUGGGAGUCGGUCGGAUCCCAGCCGAGAAAAGAAACAAGCAGGAUAGCAAUUCUUAGGGGAGCCACCCUGGGAGUUUUAGGCAGCGUUUGCCUUUCCCUGGUUUUCUUCACCAAGCCCCAUCCUCCCCCCGCAUACCACCCCCAGUCAAAAGAGUGGGAGAAAAUGCACAGUUCGAAGUCGGUGAGAGCAAAAAUGGGUCUAGUAAAUCAACCCGUGGUGGUAGCUAAAAGGUUUGGGGCUGCAAAGAAACAAACUGUAAGUUUUGAGCAACAAACUUUUUCUUCAAUCUGUAAUAUGUCGAAAUGGGAAGGGGGUGUUGCAAAAGCCAACUACCACUGUCAAACUUAGCCCGUUUACAACAUGGGGAAAGGCGUAUUUCUUACUAAUAUCUCAACAACGAUAACAAUGCUGUAUCCUUCCUUACCUUGAUGUUGAACUGCGAAUCCUCCUCCGGAUCAAUGUCCAGGAACUUAGAAGAAUUGGUGAUAUUAGGAGUUCAGUACUUCUGGAAAAAAAUGCAAAUGGUUUAGCCAGGAUCUUUCCUGUCUGAUUCGUCACUAUUAUUAUAUCUGAUGAUGCGAAUGGUUGGAGCGAUUCAAUCCUAAGUCAUUAAUGAGCUAUUUUAUAAACACCACUGUCUGAAGAUCUUCAUUUACAUUUUGCUAAGGAUCACUUCGCUAACCUCACAGGCUUGUGUCAACAGCAUGAUUUGCAGGACUUCAGUUACACUCUUAUAAACAACACGGCUGUAUUGUUAAUCGGUUAAUAUUUUAUAAAGUGUAAAUAUUUUAUUAUGUUUUGAAGGGAACUAUUGAUUCUAAAUUAUUAAACCCCUGAGAAGGACUAUUUAAAU
rnacentral:lncRNA from 1 species